rnacentral:rRNA from 1 species
CAGUAGCCGCGGUAAGACGAACCGUGCGAACGUUAUUCGGAAUCACUGGGCUUAAAGCGCGUGUAGGCGGAUGGGAGUGUCGGCCUCUGAAAUCCCCCGGCUCAACCGGGGAAGUGGAGCCGAAACGACCCGUCUGGAGGGACGUAGGGGGACCUGGAACUUCCGGUGGAGCGGUGAAAUGCGUUGAGAUCGGAAGGAACGCCCGUGGCGAAAGCGAGGUCCUGGACGUCUGCUGACGCUGAGACGCGAAAGCCAGGGGAGCGAACGGGAUUAGGUACCCCAGUAGUCCCUGUCUCUUAUU